AUAUAAACAUUUUCAUAAAAAGAAAUAGUGACAUGCCAAAUAAAAAAAUCUCCCCCUUCGAUCAUUAGGGGACCCGGCUCAGUUUGCAUAGGAAAAUCCUUCACUUCAUACCUAUCACCAACCAGCCUAGAAUUUAGCUUUUCGUUACCCUCAACAGCAAAUUCGAAUGGAGCAUUAGGGCUAUACUCUCCAUCCAGAAAGGGAGACCCCCACAAAGGAGCAGAAUCCAACUGCACUCCUAGCCAAUCAAGAAACUCAUUUCAUCAGUGCCUUCUUGUGAAUGUUGGUCAACUUCGAGCAAUUGUCUUCGCAGAUCCAAACGUGUUCACAAGGUGGUUUGGUUACACAGGCUUCUAUAUGAUCUUGGGGUUCAUCUCACCGCUGCAACGCCUCUCGGAUGGACUUCGGCAUUCUUUCCCAACUCAAAUUGAAAAGGGCUGUUUGAAGUGCAAGGGGUAAACUCGAAUGUGAUAGAACUAUGCGUAUCGAGCCUUUGAGAUGUUUACCCAAUAAUUCUAUUUAUUUGAUUUAGGCAGUGACAUCAAUAGUCUCGUGCCGAGCUGACAGACCAAUAAGAAUAAAGGUGCCGUCCUAAAGCUUCGCAUCGAUCACAAAACUAUCUUCCAAAUCAAAAGAAAAAGGGCUCGUUGGACAUCUAGAAAGGGAGACCCCCAGUGAACUCAUCCCAUCUGUGCCUUCUUGUGAGUGCUAGUUGACUAACAUCCUUGCGGGCUUCCUUGCCCCUAGACCAUAGAGAAUAAAGCCAACAAUGCUAUUCUGGACUCACUCAAUGGUUGGGCUUGCCCUGCAAAGAUCUUCUUUUGAAUAGGAAAAUUUCCGUUGCUCCACAAGCAUUCAUGGCAAAAAGCUAUAGUUUUGCAGGACUCAGAAGAGAUGGCAAGCAGUGCAAGAUAUUUGCAUGAUUUUUCAAGGUUCAAAACACUGUAGAAAAGUCGCAGAAGGCUUCCCACAUGAUAAAUAUAGCACAACUAUAGCUACAAAUUGUACUUUCCACACUUGCAACAUUGCAUGUAUAUGACUAUUUUUGUCACAUAGCUUUUCUUUUAAUCACGUAUAACAUACUCAUUUCUCUAUUCUAUACCUAGAACCAACCCCAUUCCACUCCCCACAACAUCAGGUAAGUGAUCCCAUCUUUAACAUCAGGAGUAAAGAUAGGAAAAUCUGAAAACGACAAUAUGAAGCAAGAGAAUAUUUUCAGUUAAGAGAGAGAGAGAAGUGACACAAGAAUUCUGAUUAGGACUUCGAGACCAUUUUUGCAACAGACCCACUAAAUUGCCCAAUAUUUAGAAGUAGAUGAAUCAACCAUGGAAAUGUUAUAACACCAAGAGGGAUCGUUGUUUGUUCUCUUACUAGGCCCAAAUAGUAAAUUGGGAGAUUGACUACAUUCAUUUUGAACCAAGAUGUCGAAGGUUGAUAAUAUUGUCCCGGCAAAUAUAUGUACGCAUUGCACACUUGUACCUAGAAUACGUGAAGUAUUAUAAUACAUUCCUGUCUAGAAAUGAAUCAUAUGGUGAACAAUACGAAAACUGGCAACAUGACCGAUGGAAAAUCAUCUAUGAUGAGAAUUGUAAAGCUGUAGAGGAGAUCUUUCUAUCUGGUUUUGAUCGUGGUUCUAGUACAAAACCUGUGUUUCUAUUCAAGAACACUAGGCAUCAAAGUAUUGACAUUUCAUAGCUAUGUCACGCAUUGUCGUUGACAGUUAAGAGGCAUGAAUGUCAAUUAGAUGAUCAAAUUUAAGUUGAGUAAUCAAGAUAAAUUGAAAAUAUAACUCUAGUGACGAGAAGCAAAAUUUUUAAAACUCACUCUUGGUCCAGACUAUCCUUCUCGUAUAUGCAUAACAAACAUCCCCAAGCAACCAAAACUCGUGAGACAAUUCAGUAGUUACUACAGUAAUUUUCCAAAAACCGAAAAGAAUCCGGCAACAAUUGAUACGAAUCUCACUUAUGUGCAUGAUACAUACAAUACCCAACUAAUCAUGUGCUCCGGGAUCCUGCUCCUUCAUUGUCAAAUGAUCUUGUAUGAUAUGUUGCGAGGGAGAAGAAAA